UUCAAAGCUUCAAACUGGGAUUAGAUACCCCACUAUUUUUAGUCGUAAAUUUAGUUUAAGCUUACCAGAGUACUACGAAUAAAAAGUUUAAAACUCAAAGGGCUUGGCGGUGUUUUAGACCUCUCAGGGGAACCUGUCUCAUAAUCGACAAUCCACGUUAAACCUAACUCUUUGUGGCAAGUCAGCCUGUAUACCGUCGUCGUCAGGUAACUUCUUAAAAUAUAGUAGUUAGCCAGAGAAUUUUAUUAAUUAAAACGUCAGAUCAAGGUGCAGCUAAUAAAAGAGUGAGGAUGGGUUACAAUUACAGAUUUGUAAUUACGGAAAACACUUGAAAUGAAGUGGCUUAAAGGAGGACUUGAAAGUAAUUUUGGUUAUAUAAGCAAAAUGAAUAAGGCUCUGAAACGUGCACACACCGCCCGUCACCCUCUGCAGUCA
rnacentral:rRNA from 1 species